UACGUAGGGUGCAAGCGUUGUCCGGAAUUCUUGGGCGUAAAGAGCUCGUAGGCGGUUUGUCGCGUCGAAUGUGAAAACCCGGGGCUCAACCCCGGGCCUGCAUUCGAUACGGGCAGACUAGAGUUCGGUAGGGGAGUCUGGAAUUCCUGGUGUAGCGGUGAAAUGCGCAGAUAUCAGGAGGAACACCGAUGGCGAAGGCAGGUCUCUGGGCCACUACUGACGCUGAGAAGCGAAAGCAUGGGGAGCGAACAGG
rnacentral:rRNA from 1 species